GCAAGGUUGAAACUCAAAGGAAUUGACGGGGGCCCGCACAAGCGGAGGAGCAUGUGGUUUAAUUCGAUGAUACGCGAGGAACCUUACCUAGACUUAAAUGUAGAUUGCAUAGUUAAGAGAUUAGCUUUUCCUUCGGGACUAUUUACAAGGUGCUGCAUGGUUGUCGUCAGCUCGUGCCGUGAGGUGUCGGGUUAAGUCCCAUAACGAGCGCAACCCCUAUUCUUAGUUGCCAGCAUGUAAUGAUGGGGACUCUAAGAAAACUGCCGGCGCAAGCCGAGAGGAAGGUGGGGAUGACGUCAAAUCAGCACGGCCCUUACGUCUAGGGCUACACACGUGCUACAAUGGCCUGUACAGAGGGCAGCUACCUCGUGAGAGGAUGCGAAUCUCCAAAGCAGGUCUCAGUUCGGAUCGCAGUCUGCAACUCGACUGCGUGAAGUUGGAUUCGCUAGUAAUCGUAGAUCAGCAACGCUACGGUGAAUACGUUCCCGGGCCUUGUACACACCGCCCGUCAAACAAUGGAAGCUGGGGGUACCUAAAGUCCGUAACCGCAAGGGGCGGCCUAGGGUAAAACUGGUAACUGGUGUUAAGUCGUAACAAGGUA
rnacentral:rRNA from 1 species